rnacentral:rRNA from 1 species
AACGCGAAGAACCUUACCAGCCCUUGACAUGGCAGGGCGGUGUCCAGAGAUGGAUUCCUUCCCUUCGGGGACCUGCACACAGGUGCUGCAUGGCUGUCGUCAGCUCGUGUCGUGAGAUGUUGGGUUAAGUCCCGCAACGAGCGCAACCCUCGCCCUUAGUUGCCAUCAUUAAGUUGGGCACUCUACGGGGACUGCCGGUGAUAAGCCGCGAGGAAGGUGGGGAUGACGUCAAGUCCUCAUGGCCCUUACGGGCUGGGCUACACACGUGCUACAAUGGCGGUGACAGUGGGCAGCAAUGGCGCGAGCCUGAGCUAAUCUCUAAAAGCCGUCUCAGUUCGGAUUGCACUCUGCAACUCGGGUGCAUGAAGUCGGAAUCGCUAGUAAUCGCGGAUCAGCACGCCGCGGUGAAUACGUUCCCGGGCCUUGUACACACCGCGUGUCU